rnacentral:lncRNA from 1 species
UAGAUUCAAUCCUAUUGGAGAAUCAAGCGUCGAAACAUCUAGAAGGUUUGGCUUAUAGUUAUUCAAGUACAGAUACCUUCCUCUCCUAACCGACCUUUUCUAAAAUACUAAAAAAAAUCCCUUUUUUGUAAAUUCUUUUGAAUCUUACCUUUUCUUAUUAUUCCACCUAGAUAAAUCUAAAUGGACAAAUUGAUUAGGCCGAAUAAUUCCAUAUGUUAUAGAAAUAUCAUUAUUGGUUGAUCUAAGUUCAUGCAAUUUAUUAAUAAAAAUGAAUAAAAAAAUUAUUCAUUUUUAGUAUUUUGGUCAAUCGUUGAAUAAAAUCAACUGAAAGGGAAAUC